UACGUAGGUGGCAAGCGUUACCCGGAUUUAUUGGGCGUAAGGGGAACGCAGGCGGUCUUUUAAGUCUGAUGUGAAAGCCUUCGGCUUAACCGGAGUAGUGCAUUGGAAACUGGUAGACUUGAGUGCAGGAGAGGAGGGUGGAAUUCCAUGUGUAGCGGUGAAAUGCGUAGAUAUAUGGAGGAACACCGGUGGCGAAAGCGGCUCUCUGGCCUGUAACUGACACUGAGGCUCGAAAGCGUGGGGAGCAAACAGG
rnacentral:rRNA from 1 species